rnacentral:rRNA from 1 species
UACGUAGGUGACAAGCGUUAUCCGGAAUUACUGGGCGUAAAGGGCUCGUAGGCGGCCAACUAAGUCAGACGUGAAAUCCCUCGGCUUAACCGGGGAACUGCAUCUGAUACUGGAUGGCUUGAGUUCGGGAGAGGGAUGCGGAAUUCCAGGUGUAGCGGUGAAAUGCGUAGAUAUCUGGAGGAACACCGGUGGCGAAGGCGGCAUCCUGGACCGACACUGACGCUGAGGAGCGAAAGCCAGGGGAGCAAACGGG